GAACUCUGGGCUUUCUUCAGUUCACGCACAAAUCUUUCGCCUUUUACUAAAGAUUUCCGUGGAGAAGGCCAAAACGGGUAUAUGAAAAGGCAAUGCAACGGCUUCACCUAACGGACGU